GACGAACGCUGGCGGCGUGCUUAACACAUGCAAGUCGAACGGGCCUGUCUUCUUUUUUGGGGGUGGGUUGAGUGGCGAACGGGUGAGUAUCACGUGAGUAACCUGCCCUUCGGUCCUGGAUAACCGCUUGAAAGGGCGGCUAAUACGGGGUGGUCCGGUUGGUCCGCAUGGGCUGGUCGGGAUAGAUUCACUGUUUUUGGUGUUUCGGCGGGGGAUGGGCUCGCGGCCUAUCAGCUUGUUGGUGGGGUGAUGGCCUACCAAGGCGGUGACGGGUAGCCGGCCUGAGAGGGUGGGCGGCCAGACGGGGACUGGGAUACGGCCCAGACUCCUGCGGGAGGCAGCAGUGGGGGGUAUUGCACAAUGGGCGGAAGCCUGAUGCAGCGACGUCGCGUGAGGGAUGGAGGCCUUCGGGUUGUGAACCUCUGUUUCCGGUGGUGAAGGCCCUGUCCGUGUGGUGGGGUUGACGGUAGCCGGGGAUGAAGCGCCGGCUAACUACGUG
rnacentral:rRNA from 1 species